rnacentral:rRNA from 1 species
GUCGAACGAUACAGUGUUGGACGGGUGAGUAACGCGUGUAGAACGUACCUUUCACUACGGAAUAUCUCCGGGAAACUGGUGGUAAUACCGUAUACGCCCUCAGGGGGAAAGAUUUAUCGGUGAAAGAUCGGCCCGCGUUGGAUUAGCUAGUUGGUGAGGUAAUGGCUCACAAAGGCGACGAUCCAUAGCUGGUCUGAGAGGAUGAUCAGCCACAUUGGGACUGAGCCAGGGUCCAACUCUCAACGGGAGGCAGCAGUGGGGAAUCUUGCACAAUGGGCGAAAGCCUGAUGCAGCCAUGCCGCGUGAAUGAUGAAGGCCUUAGGGUUGUAAAAUUCUUUCGUCAGGGAUGAUAAUGACCGUACCUGAAGAAGAAGCCCCGGCUAACUUCGUGCCAGCAGCCGCGGUAAUACGAAGGGGGCUAGCGUUGUUCGGAAUUACUGGGCGUAAAGCGCACGUAGGCGGAUUUUUAAGUCAGGUGUGAAAUCCCGGGGCUCAACCUCGGAACUGCAUUUGAAACUGGAAGUCUUGAGACCAGGAGAGGUUAGCGGAAUACCGAGUGUAGAGGUGAAAUUCGUAGAUAUUCGGUGGAACACCAGUGGCGAAGGCGGCUAACUGGACUGGUACUGACGCUGAGGUGCGAAAGUGUGGGGAGCAAACAGGAUUAGAUACCCUGGUAGUCCACACCGUAAACGAUGAGAGCUAGUUGUUGGCAGGCAUGCCUGUCAGUGACGCAGCUAACGCAUUAAGCUCUCCGCCUGGGGAGUACGGCCGCAAGGUUAAAACUCAAAGAAACUGACGG